CCUGUUGAUGUAAUAGCUGACAUUGGAGUUAUGGACCCUCAUGAAUUAGAACCACCAACCACCUUUGAGAUAAAACAAGAAAAAAUAUAUAUCUUAGAAAGGAAACUCAUGUCUCAACUCAAGGACAUGAUAUACAAAAAAAAUUCAUCCAUAAAGUCAAUUCCCAAAAGGCAAACAGUCCAUCAUCUAAGUGAAAAAAAAAAUAUCCUAGUACCGAUUAUCCCAAGGAUAUGCUAAACUACUGAGACUAGUAGUGGAUCAAGAGGUAUCAAAUGCUGAACCCUGUGGAUAAACUCAGCCCCAGUCCAAACUUCUGAUUCCUUCUAAUAAAGAUAUUAACAGAAAUAGGCAUUCAUUAUGUAACAACCUUAUAUAACCCUUUAAAUAAUACCUUCUAAUCAAAGUCCCAAUCAUGGGCAGGAAAGAAGCUUAGUUAUUGUUGCCUACAAUCAAGCUCUUCACAUUUUGUUGAUCAUUCAUCCAUUCUUAUCUUUACAUUUAUCAAGAUUUCACCCCAAAAUGGAUCAAGGGCAGUUUUUCUGAACAUACAUCAGUAGCCAAUGUAUUGCAAAGCCAAUCCUAUUUAUUUUCUAAAAGCUCUAAUCCCUUUUGCUUUGGAUGCCCUUUUUUCAAUUCCAAUUCUUAUUAGCAAACGUCUACUUAGUUUAUGUAACCAUGAAUCUCCCAAGUUUACACAAUUAUGCUUUCCUUUUAAUCUCUAAAAUUUUAACAAAUUCAAAACUUUUGGAUCAUCAAAUUCUCAAUCAUUCAAUAGCAUAUCAAAAUUCAGAAAGCAAAAUAACGAAAGGUUAAAUAUUUAUUACACGAUUUUGAUCCAAAACACACUCCAGGAUCCAAACUUUAAACAAAAAUUGAAACCCUAACAAUAUCAACCCUGACAUAAUUUACAUAGCAUAGCGAAAACAAAGUAUUUGUAGCAUUGAAUUACCAAUUAAGCUCCGAAUCCGAACCCGAUCUGAACCAGGACUCAGACCUCAAGUUCCGCCACUAGAUCGGUGGAGGUACAGCUUGCCGAACACAUGAAGAGCCGUGAUGAAGCCAAUGAAGCAGAGGCUCAUGACGACACCAGUUGGGGAACUAGCAGGGAGAUUUAGAGCGAUACUAGCAGAUUGACGAAGAUCGUUAAGUAAAAGCUCAGAGGGCUGAGAAGCUCACCAUUAUUGCAGUUUUCUCAAGAAAAAAAUGAAAAUCAGAAGUUAGAAAGAGAGAGAGAGAAAAAGGAAUCUUCCCAGAACAAGUACGAAGGGGAAGAAAGAACAAGGGGUAAACGAGAGGGAAAUGGUGAAUAGGAAAAUCUGUAGAUGGCUAAGAACCGGUGGGGAGUUUUCAAGUCGGCAAUGGUAGGUGGGAGUCUGCCCAGAGAAUAAAGAGGAAGCCAUAAGAAAUAGGAAUUGAGAAGGAUUUCACUUAAAUUUUGAGAAGGGCGGGAAUAUUAGUAAGUUUCAUAGAUUUCAAAUUUUGGGAAAUUUGUAAUCCCGCUUUCUGAUUUUUUGUUUAAUAAUGUGUGUAAUUCUACCACACUUAAUGAUCGUGGUAGAUAAAAAGAAUCCAUAGUGGUUACGAACUAUAUACCACGUUGAAGGCCCGUGGUGGUUUAAUAUUUUUACAACGUGUUGACUAAGUUCGUGGUAUUAGAUUAUUUUAUCAUAACGGG
rnacentral:lncRNA from 1 species